AACAGGCUGUGAAUUUGAAAGAAUUGUGGAUAUCCAUCAAUUGUGAUCCUGGAGCCGGAUGCGUGUUUUAUUGGGGUUGCUUUUGCAAAACAUUUGAUUCAUUUAUAUACCUAUCAAGUUCAUAAUGGCCUACAAGAGCAUUUGGAGAUUGAUGCUCAUGAUGGUGAUGUUAAUGACUUAGCAUUUUCAUUUAAAAAAAAUCAGCUAUGUGUUGUAACUUGUGGAGAUGAUAAGUUAAUUAAGGUUUAUUCGGUUCUUCCUCACUCAAAGGAAAAUAUCCAGGUUAAAUUAUUCUCUCACCACCUCUUCACGUUGCGUAUAUUCUUUUUAAUUGAUUUGGUGGUUUCCACCUUCAUAAUUAAUUUUCAAUUUUGUGAUCAUUACAAUUGAUAGACGGUAUAAUUAAUUUUAUUUUCAAUAUACAUGACCGUCGAAUAUGGUGUAGUGAACUUGACAUAGUUAUUAGGACAUCGUAUUCUUGCAGGUUUUAUAUUCAACUUCGGUUGAUGGGAAAUUUAGGGUUUGGAAGUAUGAUCAGAAGAACUUCCAUCUGGAGAAAUGGUGAGAUAGAUAAGGACACUUAUCAUGUCAAAUGUUUGAGUUCUUUAAUUUUGGUUUUCCUUGUUUCAGGACAUUAUGUUCCCCAGCUUAGCCAAGUUAUUAUCAAGCACAACUCAGCUACAAAACAAGAUUCUAUAAAUCUUAAAGGUUAUAUGGUAUGAAUUUCAUUUCUCCACAAAAGCUAGUAAAGAUUCCAUUUAUAAUGUUCUUUUUUAAAAUCUCAAAUCUAUUCGCAUCUUAAGGUCAUGAUUGUGGUGUUAAUGACUUGGAAUUUCAUUUCCGAAAAAUCAGCUAUGCAUUGAAUCUUGUGGAGAUGAUAUGUUAAUUAAGGUGACAGUGAAGUUUCCUAGUCUAUAGUAAAUUGUAAUAUCUGAAUGUAUCUUUAAAUAUUAAUAUUGGAAGAGUGAUACAUAUAGGUAUGAGAUUUGAAACAAGUUAGAGAUGUGAGAUUUAUUUUUCACUUACAAUCUUUUCUCUUAAAAAAAAAGGUAUGGGAUUUGAAUGGAGAGAAGAUAUUUAUCUUUGAAGGGAAAUAUCCUCAUUAAAUUCACAUUGUGUAUUUUUUUUUAUUUGAUUAUGAGGCAUCUUCCAAUGUUGAAUUCUUUAUCAUUACACUUGAUUAACGGCAUGAUUGUUUUGAUUUUCAAUAUACAUGAAAAUCGAAUAUGGUGUGGUGAAUGCUUGACAUAUAGUUAUCAUGACAUCAUAUUCUUGCAGUUUUUAUUUUCUACAUUAAUUGAUGGAAAAGUUAGAGUGUGGUUGUAUCAGAACGAGAGUUUUCAGGCUGAAUACGACACUCCCAGAAAGUGUAGCAAUACACUGAUCUAUAGUGAUGAUGGAACUAGGAAAGAAAAUUAGGAAUAAUCAAGAUUAUACUUUUCUAGUUUGUUUUAAUAUAUUUAAGUUUUUAUGUAAAUUGUAAUUUGCCCUCUUGGAUGUUUAGAUUGUUUUAGUGUGGGACAACUAAAGAGGGAGAUUGUUUCCUAGUUGAGUAGUAUGAAGAUGAAGGUUUAUUAAAAAGAACAUAUUCAGGAAUUAGAACCAAAUUUGUUGGCAUGGUGCAAUUCGACACUGCAAAGAACUUAAGUUUUGGGAUGUGGACAUUAUCAAUGUUCGGACAAGGACAGAUGUUGAUCGAUGGUGGUCUUCAUGUGAGUAUAGUCCCUUUACUUUCCAUAUCAUUGUAUAAUGUUGUGUGAAACCUAUUUGACAUGGUUGACGACUGAUAGAAUAGUAUGAUUUACUAUUAAACGUCGUUGAUCUUCAUUAACUAACCACAAUGAAGUGUAAAUCAUAAUUUA